AUUGAACGCUGGCGGCAGGCCUAACACAUGCAAGUCGAACGGUAGCACAGAGAGCUUGCUCUCGGGUGACGAGUGGCGGACGGGUGAGUAAUGUUUGGGAAACUGCCUGAUGGAGGGGGAUAACUACUGGAAACGGUAGCUAAUACCGCAUAACGUCGCAAGACCAAAGAGGGGGACCUUCGGGCCUCUUGCCAUCGGAUGUGCCCAGAUGGGAUUAGCUAGUAGGUGGGGUAAUGGCUCACCUAGGCGACGAUCCCUAGCUGGUCUGAGAGGAUGACCAGCCACACUGGAACUGAGACACGGUCCAGACUCCUACGGGAGGCAGCAGUGGGGAAUAUUGCACAAUGGGCGCAAGCCUGAUGCAGCCAUGCCGCGUGUAUGAAGAAGGCCUUCGGGUUGUAAAGUACUUUCAGCGAGGAGGAAGACAUUAAGGUUAAUAACCUUAGUGAUUGACGUUACUCGCAGAAGAAGCACCGGCUAACUCCGUGCCAGCCGCCGCGGUAAGAC
rnacentral:rRNA from 1 species